rnacentral:rRNA from 1 species
UACCAGCACCCCGAGUGGUCGGGACGUUUAUUGGGCCUAAAGCAUCCGUAGCCGGUUCUACAAGUCUUCCGUUAAAUCCACCUGCUUAACAGAUGGGCUGCGGAAGAUACUAUAGAGCUAGGAGGCGGGAGAGGCAAGCGGUACUCGAUGGGUAGGGGUAAAAUCCGUUGAUCCAUUGAAGACCACCAGUGGCGAAGGCGGCUUGCCAGAACGCGCUCGACGGUGAGGGAUGAAAGCUGGGGAGCAAACCGG